CCCAGACUCCUACGGGAGGCAGCAGUGGGGAAUAUUGCACAAUGGGCGAAAGCCUGAUGCAGCGACGCCGCGUGAGUGAAGAAGUAUUUCGGUAUGUAAAGCUCUAUCAGCAGGGAAGAAAAUGACGGUACCUGACUAAGAAGCCCCGGCUAACUACGUGCCAGCAGCCGCGGUAAUACGUAGGGGGCAAGCGUUAUCCGGAUUUACUGGGUGUAAAGGGAGCGUAGACGGCGAAGCAAGUCUGAAGUGAAAACCCCGGGCUCAACCCUGGGACUGCUUUGGAAACUGUUUUGCUAGAGUGUCGGAGAGGUAAGUGGAAUUCCUAGUGUAGCGGUGAAAUGCGUAGAUAUUAGGAGGAACACCAGUUGCGAAGGCGGCUCUCUGGACUGUAACUGACGCUGAGGCACGAAAGCGUGGGGAGCAAACAGGAUUAGAUACCCGAGUA
rnacentral:rRNA from 1 species